UUCUCCCGAAAGCUAUGCUGGAGGUAUCAGAAGUGCGAAUGCUGGUAACGAUAAAGCGUCAAGGGGUUCCUGUCCAACGUUAAUCGGGGCAGGGUGAGUCGACCAAGGCGAGGCCGAAAGGCGUAGUCGAUGGGAAACAGGUUAAUAUUCCUGUACUUGGUGUUACUGCGAAGGGGGACGGAGAAGGCUAUGUUGGCCGGGCGACGGUUGUCCCGGUUUAAGCGUGUAGGCUGGUUUUCGGGCAAAUCCGGAAAAUCAAGGCUGAGGCGUGAUGACGAGGCACUACGGUGCUGAAGCAACAAAUGCCCUGCUUCCAGGAAAAGCCUCUAAGCAUCAGGUAACAUCAAAUCGUACCCCAAACCGACACAGGUGGUCAGGUAGAGAAUACCAAGGCGCUUGAGAGAACUCGGGUGAAGGAACUAGGCAAAAUGGUGCCGUAACUUCGGGAGAAGGCACGCUGAUAUGUAGGUGAAGUCCCUCGCGGAUGGAGCUGAAAUCAGUCGAAGAUACCAGCUGGCUGCAACUGUUUAUUAAAAACACAGCACUGUGCAAACACGAAAGUGGACGUAUACGGUGUGACGCCUGCCCGGUGCCGGAAGGUUAAUUGAUGGGGUUAGCCGCAAGGCGAAGCUCUUGAUCGAAGCCCCGGUAAACGGCGGCCGUAACUAUAACGGUCCUAAGGUAGCGAAAUUCCUUGUCGGGUAAGUUCCGACCUGCACGAAUGGCGUAAUGAUGGCGGGCUGUCUCCACCCGAGACUCAGUGAAAUUGAACUCGCUGUGAAGAUGCAGUGUACCCGCGGCAAGACGGAAAGACCCGUGAACCUUUACUAUAGCUUGACACUGAACAUUGAGCCUUGAUGUGUAGGAUAGGUGGGAGGCUUAGAAGUGUGGACGCCAGUCUGCAUGGAGCCGACCUUGAAAUACCACCCUUUAAUGUUUGAUGUUCUAACGUUGACCCGUAAUCCGGGUUGCGGACAGUGUCUGGUGGGUAGUUUGACUGGGGCGGUCUCCUCCUAAAGAGUAACGGAGGAGCACGAAGGUUGGCUAAUCCUGGUCGGACAUCAGGAGGUUAGUGCAAUGGCAUAAGCCAGCUUGACUGCGAGCGUGACGGCGCGAGCAGGUGCGAAAGCAGGUCAUAGUGAUCCGGUGGUUCUGAAUGGAAGGGCCAUCGCUCAACGGAUAAAGGUACUCCGGGGAUAACAGGCUGAUACCGCCCAAGAGUUCAUAUCGACGGCGGUGUUUGGCACCUCGAUGUCGGCUCAUCACAUCCUGGGGCUGAAGUAGGUCCCAAGGGUAUGGCUGUUCGCCAUUUAAAGUGGUACGCGAGCUGGGUUUAGAACGUCGUGAGACAGUUCGGUCCCUAUCUGCCGUGGGCGCUGGAGAACUGAGGGGGGCUGCUCCUAGUACGAGAGGACCGGAGUGGACGCAUCACUGGUGUUCGGGUUGUCAUGCCAAUGGCACUGCCCGGUAGCUAAAUGCGGAAGAGAUAAGUGCUGAAAGCAUCUAAGCACGAAACUUGCCCCGAGAUGAGUUCUCCCUGACUCCUUGAGAGUCCUGAAGGAACGUUGAAGACGACGACGUUGAUAGGCCGGGUGUGUAAGCGCAGCGAUGCGUUGAGCUAACCGGUACUAAUGAACCGUGAGGCUUAACCU
rnacentral:rRNA from 1 species